rnacentral:rRNA from 1 species
UGAGGAAUAUUGGUCAAUGGACGCGAGUCUGAACCAGCCAAGUAGCGUGAAGGAUGACUGCCCUAUGGGUUGUAAACUUCUUUUAUAAGGGAAUAAAGUGAGGGACGUGUCCCUUUUUGUAUGUACCUUAUGAAUAAGGAUCGGCUAACUCCGUGCCAGCAGCCGCGGUAAUACGGAGGAUCCAAGCGUUAUCCGGAUUUAUUGGGUUUAAAGGGAGCGUAGGUUGACAUAUAAGUCAGCUGUGAAAGUUUACGGCUCAACCGUGAAAUUGCAGUUGAUACUGUAUGUCUUGAGUGUACAAGAGGUGGGCGGAAUUCGUGGUGUAGCGGUGAAAUGCUUAGAUAUCACGAAGAACUCCAAUUGCGAAGGCAGCUCACUGGGGUACAACUGACACUGAGGCUCGAAAGUGUGGGUAUCAAACAGG